UCCGUAGGGUGCGAGCGUUGUCCGGAUUUAUUGGGCGUAAAGAGCGUGUAGGCGGCCAUACAGGUCCGUUGUGAAAACUGGAGGCUUAACCUCCAGACGUCGAUGGAAACCGUAUGGCUAGAGUCCGGAAGAGGAGAGUGGAAUUCCUGGUGUAGCGGUGAAAUGCGCAGAUAUCAGGAAGAACACCCGUGGCGAAGGCGGCUCUCUGGGACGGUACUGACGCUGAGACGCGAAAGCGUGGGGAGCGAACAGG
rnacentral:rRNA from 1 species